UACGGAGGGGGCAAGCGUUAUUCGGAAUUAUUGGGCGUAAAGGGCGCGUGGGCGGCUAGAUGUGUCAAAGGUGAAAUCCCUCGGCUCAACUGAGGAACUGCCUUUGAAACUGUCUGGCUUGAGGCCGGGAGAGGGUAGCGGAAUUCCCAGUGUAGCGGUGAAAUGCGUAGAUAUUGGGAGGAACACCAGUGGCGAAGGCGGCUACCUGGACCGGUUCUGACGCUGAGGCGCGAAAGCGUGGGUAGCAAACAGG
rnacentral:rRNA from 1 species